AGCCUCUCUCUUUCUCCCUAUAGGGUGGUUUUAAUCAUUCAUAUUGUAAUUAUUGCCCAUUUCUUUAUUAGAUUACUCAGAUUUUUAUGGUAAAGGAUUCCGGCAUAUUGGAAAUGCUGGCCAGAGUGUGUGUGUGUGUGAGUGAGACAGAGAGAGGCAGCAUGCGUUUAAUUGUUAAUUUGCUAGAAAUUUAGUUUCGCAAAUAGUACAGUUGCUGGCUUUAGUGUUUCUGACAAAAGUAUUCCUCUGAACAGGUUAUUUUAAAAGGAAUAUGAGAAUAAAUGUGGUCUAUACCAAACCCUUUUCUAUCCACGUUCUUUCUCCGCAGACCCAUUUCUUUCUUCUGUUGAAUGAUGGCUGUUCUGUUACUGCAUAGCUGGAUCAAUCCAAUACCUAUUGAGUGCCACUGUCGAGGAAUUCUAUAUGGACAAUUAUACAGUCUACACUGAUCUGUAUACCUUGCAUCAGCCUUUGAGAUUAUCCUAGUCUAAACAUUAUGUAGCGGCUCUUUCUUUCUUUGUGGCUACUUUUCUUGUGGUAGAUUAUAUGAGAUUAUGUGAGAUACUGCCACCUUUCCCAUGAUUACAACUGAAUGGUUAUGUUGGAUAUGAAUUGGCCAGGCCCUAAUGCUAUAAACGAGACCUUUAACCCUAACAUUGCUCACGUAACUCGUGUGUACCUUAUAAAAUAUAUUAAAUUCCACUUAGAGAUAAUUAUAACCAUAUUUUUUUGUUAAAAAGAGUAAUAAUGCAUAUAAUAGUGUUUUCCCUAUUUAUUUGCAAGUGUUGUUCAUUAUUGAGCAGGUUUAAAAAUCAUCACAUAAGUUAGUCCCUACCAAGAGCUAGAUGGGUUAAUGUUGGUUGAUGGUUUGGGCGGGAAUUUAUCACCUCAACAAAAUUUAGCACCUAAAGGUGCUUACUUUUAAAACUUAAAAGCACUAAUAGGCCACCCUUGUUUUGGCUCCUUAGACAGCAAGGUCCAUUUUUUUGAUUUCUUUAAGUUUGUUUCUUCAGACAAGGUAUAGUAUUCAUUAAGUUAGGCAUCAGGGUCAUGAACAUCAAAAGGAAAAAAGAGAAGUGCCACUGGGAUUAUCAUAUAACUUUGUCUUUACAUUUUCUAUUGGGUAUAAAGCUAGCUGGGUUGAACUGCAUUCUCUAAAUAAUGCAUUGAGAAGUGUGGAUGUCUUGGUUUUCCAUGGCAUGAUGGCAGGUAAGCUAUAGAGUCGGAAGACUAAAAUAAUGGCCACUCUUUUGUCACAGGACCAAAAUUAGAGGCUUCCUUUCUAUUAACAGGUUAGCUUGAAUUGCAAGGGUUGUGAUAUGUAAAUCCACACGUCAUUGCAACAAAAUAAUACUACCAUCAAGGAUCUUGAUGCAAACUCUUGGGCUAGUGACUAAUUGCAUAUGAGCAAAGAUACUUUUAUCAAAGAAUCAACAGUUGCAGCAAUGAUUGAAUUAGCUUCAGUCCCAACAAUUUAGCUUCUUAGCUGUAUUUCCUGCCCCCUUUGGACCUCUUCAGAAGAGGAGAGAAGAAGAAACAGAUAUUCUAGCACGGUAA